AUUGAACGCUAGCGGGAUGCUUUACACAUGCAAGUCGAACGGCAGCGCGGACUUCGGUCUGGCGGCGAGUGGCGAACGGGUGAGUAAUGUAUCGGAACGUGCCCAGUAGCGGGGGAUAACUACGCGAAAGCGUAGCUAAUACCGCAUACGCCCUACGGGGGAAAGCAGGGGAUCGUAAGACCUUGCACUAUUGGAGCGGCCGAUAUGGGAUUAGCUAGUUGGUGAGGUAACGGCUCACCAAGGCGACGAUCCGUAGCUGGUUUGAGAGGACGACCAGCCACACUGGGACUGAGACACGGCCCAGACUCCUACGGGAGGCAGCAGUGGGGAAUUUUGGACAAUGGGGGCAACCCUGAUCCAGCCAUCCCGCGUGUGCGAUGAAGGCCUUCGGGUUGUAAAGCACUUUUGGCAGGAAAGAAACGUCGCGGGCUAAUACCCCGUGGAACUGACGGUACCUGCAGAAUAAGCACCGGCUAACUACGUG
rnacentral:rRNA from 1 species